CCGCACUGCGCAGGCGCCAAGAGGCUGGCGGGAAUUCUCCGCGCUGCUAUUGGCCGGAGGGUGAAGCAGAGCAAGCGCUGAUUGGCUGGCGGCCAGAAGGGGCGUGGCCAAGCGGCGUGAGGGGGGGAAGAUGGCGGCGGCGGCGCUGGCGCCGGAGCUGCUGGUGCAGCUGGACCCGGGGCGGUUCCGGGCCGAUAAUUUGCUGGGGGCCGAGGAUUGGGAUGACGCCCUUUACGGUUGCCUUGACGACCGCCUGGACCCCGCCCACCUCUUCCCCUCCCUGGACCCCGACCCCAUGUUCGGCUGCGCCCUGGACCCCCCCGACCCCCCCUGGCACCAGGAGCCCCCCCCGGCCUGCCCAGAUCUGCAGGUGAAAUCUGAGCCGGACUCCCCGACCUCGUCCCUGAGCUCCGACUGCUCCUGCUCCUCUGAGCCCCAAAUCUGGGCCCCCAGCCCCCCCGAAAUGGGGGUGAAACCGGAGCCCCCCCAGGACCCCCCAGGGCAGCCCCCGGGGGGGGUGAAGGCCGAGGGGCCCCCCCAGAUCCAGCCCCGACCCCCCCAGAGCCCCCCAAAAUCCUUCGGGCCCGGGAACGGCGGCACCGCGACCCUGCCAGUGCCCUGCACGCUGCUGCUCUCCCCGGCCGAGCUGCUCCUCCCGGGGGGGCUCCUGUGCCUGCCCCGCCCCCCCCCAGCCCCCCCCAGAACCGAAACCCCCCGGGCGGCCAUCGCCCCUGGCCCCGCCCCCGCCACGCCCACGGCCACGCCCACACAACAGCCAGACGUGCGUGCCCUGCGGCGGCAGCAGCGCAUGAUCAAGAACCGCGAGUCCGCCAGCGCCUCCCGGCGGCGCCGCAAGGAAUACCUGGAGCAGCUGGAGCGGAGCCUGAGCCUGGCGCUGGCCGACAACGAGCGGCUGCGGCGCGACAACGGCGCCCUCCGGCGGCGGCUGCAGGAACUGCAGAGCCCCCCGCCCCUCCCCCCGGUGAAGCUGGCGUGUGUGGGGGCGCUGCUGCUGCUCACCUGGUACCUGGCACCGCUCAGCCUCGCUCCAGGCCCCGCCCCUGCCCCUCCCCCGCGGGGGGGGCGGCGCCUCCUGGGGGCGGGGCCAGAGCCGGGGCCCCUCCCCCCCCUCGGGGACCCCCCCGGCAUUUGGGGACCCCCCCGGGAGCCCCGCGGCCCCUUCAGGAAUUCGUCGCUGACCCCGUGGGGCCACGCCCCCAUCGCUGGCCCCGCCCCCUCCGCUGGCCACGCCCCCAGCGCUGGCCCCGCCCCCAGCCCCGAGUGCCGCAGCUUCAACCGCAGCGAAUCCCUCAGGCUGGCGGAUGAACUGCGGGGUUGGGUCCGGAGGCACCAAAGGCAAAAGGAGCGAGAGACCCCCGGGGGGACCCCCCAGAAACCCCCCAAGGGCCAGUUUCAGGGCUCGGGGCUGCUCCCGGCUGCGCCCCCCAGGCCUGAGAGGCCCCCCCCGUGGCCGCUGCAGCCGUUCCAGGGCCGGGUCCCCCCCGAGCCCCCGAUCCUGGCGGCCAUCGAGCGCAGGGACGACACCUUCUACGUCGUCUCCUUCCGCAGGGACCACCUGCUCCUCCCAGCCCGGAGCCACAACAAAACCUCGAGGCCCAAAAUGUCCCUGGUGAUGCCGGCGGCCGCUCUGAACGAGUCGCUGGGCGGGGCCCAGCCCAUGAUGCAGGUGGACUGCGAGGUGAUGGACACGCGCGUCAUCCACGUGCGCCGGCAGGCCACGCCCCCUCCCAGAGCCACGCCCCCUCCCAGAGCCACGCCCACCCGCAGACCCCGACCAAUCAGCUUGGGGGGAGAUGGCGGCUGAGACACACCCACUUCCGGGAAAAGCCACGCCCCCUUUGUUAUAUGUGCAGGUAGAAGCCACGCCCCCUUGCGAUUGAGUUUAAGCCACGCCCCCUCAUAACUCACGAGUUUGAGGCCACGCCCCCUUUAAACUCAUGUCUAUGAGGCCACACCUCCAUCGGAUUGAGAGGUUAAGCCACGCCCCCUCUAAACUCACAUGCUUGAGGCCACGCCCUCUUUAAACUCAUGUCUAUGAGGCCACGCCCCCAUUGAAUUGAGAGGUUAAGCCACGCCCCCUCUAAACUCACAUACUUGAGGCCACGCCCCCUUUAAACCACGUGUUUGAGGCCACGCCCCCAUCAGAUUGAGCGGCUAAGCCACGCCCCCUCUAAACUCACGAGUUUGAGGCCACGCCCCCUUUAAACUCAUGUCUAUGAGGCCACACCUCCAUCAGAUUGAGAGGUUAAGCCACGCCCCCUUUAAACUUACAUGUUUGCGGCCACGCCCCCUUGAGGAUCGCGUUUAAGCCACGCCCCCUUCCAACUCACGAGUUUGAGGCCACGCCCUCUUUAAACUCACAUGUUUGAGGCCACGCCCACUUGAAAGUGAGAGCUUAGGCCACACCCCCUUUGAAUUAAUGUGUUUGAGGCCCCGCCCUCUUUGGAUCAAUCAUUUAAGCCCCGCCCCCCACACAUGUUUGAGGCCACACCCCGUGUCAAUCCACAGGGUUUAGGCCACGCCCCCACAAUGCAAUUUAAGCCACGCCCCCUGCCCAACAAGCACGGUUCAUGGCCGUGCCCCUCUAAUUUGCAUAAUUAAGCCACGCCCUUCCUUUUAGAAGUUUAUUCAAUGCUAUCUGGCCUUUAAGCUCCACCCACUUUUACAUCAGGCCCUGCCCCCUCAUUAAAACCCAUUUGUGGCCACGCCCCUCAAGGGAAGUGAACCUGGCCAUGCCUACUGUGAAGCCCCGCCCCUUUUGUGUGUGGGCGUGGUUUAUGCUGAGGCCACGCCUCUUCUUAAAGGGGCGGCGCCAUUUUCUGUCCCCGCCUCUCCCCUUGCAGCGUUUUUUUACCCGAAUCAAUAAAAAAUGGGGGAAAAUCCCCAAAAAUCCA